rnacentral:lncRNA from 10 species
CAACCUAACAAAUAUUAACAGAAAAGCAUAAGCCCAUGCCUAUUAGGAAACAUACCAAAAUACUGAAAUGUUUAUCACUAAAUUCUAAAAUUAUAGAUUUUUGUUUCCUUUCUUUUCCCAAAGACUUUUAAAAUCAGCAUACCUACUUCUAUAAUUAAAGCAAUUUUUAUAAAGACUGGAAGAAGACAUACCUUUUUUUCUUUUGAGACAGGGUCUCUCUGUCGUCUAGGCUGCAAUGCAAUGGCAUAAUCAUGGCUCACUGCAGCCUUGACCUCCUGAGCUCAAUCAAUCCUCCUGACUCAUCCUCCUGAGUAGCUAGGACUACAGACACAUACCACCAUGCCCGGCUAAUUUUUUGUAGAGACAGGGUCUUGCUAUGUUGCCCAGGCUGGUCUCUAACUCCUGGGCUCAAGCAAUUCUCCUGCCUUGGCAUCCCAAAGUGCUGGGAUUACAGGUGUGAAUCACCACAGCUGGCCCAUACCUAAAUUUUUAAUAGCAGCUAACAGUACCUGAACUAUGGUUGAUUUUUAUUUUCUUCUUUAUGCACUUCUUUGAUUUCUAAAUGUCCUACAAUGUGCAGUGAGUUGAGUAUAGUGAUUAAGAGCACAGACUUUGGGUUCAAAUCUUGGCUCUGCCAUGUAUUAGUUCUGUCAAUUUAGAAAACUUUCUUAAUUUCUUUAAGCUUUAGUUUCCUAUUUAUGAAGCGAG